GGGGAUGUGGCUUAGUGGUAAAGUACUUGCCUAGCAUGCAUGAGGCCCUGGGUUCAAUUCCUCAGUACCA
rnacentral:tRNA from 1 species